rnacentral:misc_RNA from 1 species
UACGUAGGUGGCAAGCGUUGUCCGGAAUUAUUGGGCGUAAAGCGCGCGCAGGCGGUCCUUUAAGUCUGAUGUGAAAUCUUGCGGCUCAACCGCAAGCGUUCAUUGGAAACUGGGGGACUUGAGUACAGAAGAGGAGAGCGGAAUUCCACGUGUAGCGGUGAAAUGCGUAGAUAUGUGGAGGAACACCAGUGGCGAAGGCGGCUCUCUGGCCUACAACUGACGCUGAGGUGCGAAAGCGUGGGAAGCAAACAGG